rnacentral:rRNA from 1 species
GACGAACGCUGGCGGCGUGCCUAAUACAUGCAAGUAGAACGCUGAAGGAGGAGCUUGCUUCUCCGGAUGAGUUGCGAACGGGUGAGUAACGCGUAGGUAACCUGCCUGGUAGCGGGGGAUAACUAUUGGAAACGAUAGCUAAUACCGCAUAACAGUAGAUGUUGCAUGACAUUUGCUUAAAAGGUGCAAUUGCAUCACUACCAGAUGGACCUGCGUUGUAUUAGCUAGUUGGUGAGGUAACGGCUCACCAAGGCGACGAUACAUAGCCGACCUGAGAGGGUGAUCGGCCACACUGGGACUGAGACACGGCCCAGACUCCUACGGGAGGCAGCAGUAGGGAAUCUUCGGCAAUGGACGGAAGUCUGACCGAGCAACGCCGCGUGAGUGAAGAAGGUUUUCGGAUCGUAAAGCUCUGUUGUAGGAGAAGAACGAGUGUGAGAGUGGAAAGUUCACACUGUGACGGUAUCGUACCAGAAAGGGACGGCUAACUACGU